rnacentral:rRNA from 1 species
GAUGAACGCUAGCGGCAGGCCUAAUACAUGCAAGACGAACGGUAAGUUGAGUAGCAAUACUUAGCCAAGAGUGUCGUACGGGUGCGUAACACGUAUGCAACCUACCCUAUACAGGAGGAUAGCCUAGGGAAACCUGGAUUAACCCUUCAUAGUAUUAUUGGAUGGCAUCAUUUGAUAAUUAAAACUGAGGUGGUAUAGGAUGGGCAUGCGGUCUGAUUAGUUAGUUGGCGGGUAAUGGCCCACCAAGACGAUGAUCAGUAGGGGUUCUGAGAGGAAGAUCCCCACACUGGCACUGAGAUACGGGCCAGACUCCUACGGGAGGCAGCAGUAGGGAAUAUUGGUCAAUGGAUGCAAGUCUGAACCAGCCAUGCGCGUGCAGGAAGAAGG